rnacentral:rRNA from 1 species
GACGAACGCUGGCGGCGCGCCUAACACAUGCAAGUCGAACGGAGCUGCGAGAAGCUUGCUUUUCUUAGCUUAGUGGCGAACGGGUGAGUAACGCGUGAGUAACCUGCCCUGGAGUGGGGGACAACAGUUGGAAACGACUGCUAAUACCGCAUAAGCCCACGAUCCGGCAUCGGGGUGAGGGAAAAGGAUUUAUUCGCUUCAGGCUGGACUCUCGUCCGAUUAUCGAGUGGGUGAGGUAACGGCCCGCCAAGGCGACGAAUGGUGGCCGGACGGGGAGGUUGCCCGGCUACAUUGGGACUGCGACACGGCCCCGACUCCUACGGGAGGGAGGAGUGGGGGAUAUUGCACAAUGGGGCAAGAUCUGAUGCAGCGGCGCGGCGUAGAGGAAGAAGGUUUUCGGAUUGUAAACUCCUGUCGUUAGGGACGAUAAUGACGGUACCUAACAAGAAAGCACCGGCUAACUACGUG